GACGAACGCUGGCGGCGUGCUUAACACAUGCAAGUCGAGCGGAGCGGCGAACGGGUGAGUAACGCGUGAGUAACUGCCCCCCUCUCUGGGAUAACAGUUGGAAACGGCUGCUAAUACCGGAUACUUAUCGAUGCCUUGCGGUGCAUUAGCUCGUUGGUGGGGUAACGGCCUACCAAGGCAAUGAUGCAUAGCCGACCUGAGAGGGUAAGCGGCCACAUUGGGCUGAGACACGACCCAAACUCCUACGGGAGGCAGCAGUAGGGAAUCUUCCGCAAUGGGCGCAAGCCUGAUGCAGCCAUGCCGCGUGUAUGAAGAAGGCCUUCGGGUUGUAAAGUACUUUCAGCGAGGAGGCCUUGGUGAUUGACGUUACUCGCAGAAGAAGCACCGGCUAACUCCGUGCCAGCCGCCGUGGUAAUAC
rnacentral:rRNA from 1 species